AGCAGAGCGCGGCGCCGCCGCCGCGGCCCGAGCCGGCGGCCGCUGAGGGGACGGCGGCGGAGCUGGCUUCCCUCCGCUCGGGGGCUUUAUGUCGCCUGUCCCAGCACUAGGUGAUUCUGCUCCUCACUAGAAAAGCGCUUCCAAAUGAAGCCAGCUGCUGCUAGGAAUAGCAGAGUGUCCCUCUGUCACCUGUGUAGACGACCAUGGCGUUAGCCCAGCUCACUGCAACCUCAAACUCCUGGGCUCAAGUGAUCCUCCUGCCUCAGCCUCCUGAGUAGCUGGGACUACAGUAAAAGAAUUCUCAAGAGAAAAGAAAACACAGAAGACACCUAACAAAGAUGAUAUGUAUUAUGGUUCUUAUAUGUUAUAUGUGUUAUUACGUAUUAAUUAAGCUAGGCCAAUGUUAAGUUUAUCAAAGCUGAGAUGGCUUGUUUGUUAAUUUGAUUUCGAGUUGUGUCAGCCAAUGCUUGAAACAGAAAUUGUUAGUUUUAAUUGUAUGCAUUUACUGAUAAAAAUGUUGCAGUUUGGGGGUUGUUCUAGAAUACAGAAGACCAGUUAGCUAAAUAUUAAAAAUAUUCGAUAGCAGUUUCAAAUCUGGAUUCAAUCAGUGUUGGCCUUGGAAUAUGCCGAGCAACGUGGGAGUUUGUAGUAAGGCUCCUCUAUCUAAAUGAUCUUCAUUAAAAUUGACCACAGCGUCACCAUUCAUAAUGAA